rnacentral:tRNA from 1 species
GCCUGGGUGGCUCAGUCGGUUGAGCGUUAGACUUCCGCUCAGGUCAUGAUCUCAUGGUUCAUGGUUCCAAUCCAUGUUGGGCU